ensembl:snoRNA
GAGCAUUCUUAGUAAACCCCCUAGUUGCUUUCUGUAGCUUCUGGGACAAGAAAGGAUGCGAGAGAAAUCUUAGAAACAUCCAAAGCUGGGAGCUUUGUGGCCGUAGCUCUCGGUUAUUUCACCUCUAAGACA